GACCAGUCCUUGCCAGUGGUGCGCGUU
rnacentral:piRNA from 1 species